UUCUUUGAUUAGCCAAUGAAAGAAGAGGGCAUAUUUUAGACAAGUGAGGUAAAUUGUGAUCGACAGGCAGCCUGUCCCUCAGUGACUUAACAAGCCAGCAGAGGCUGAAUGUGCCAACAGGGAAAACAGCACAAAAGCCCAUGUUUGGGUGAGGAAACCAAAGCUCAGAAUCUGGAUCUUCUGAGCUUAAAUGCAAUGUUGUUUUCCUCCAGAGGAAAACCUUGGAAAGAAUGGGAAUCAGCUGGAGUAAUCAGAAAAGAAUUCCCAGAAGAGGGGAAAUUUGAACUAGAACAUGAAUUAAACUCCUUAAAAAAAGAAGUCUACAAUGGGUGUUAUAAUAUGAGAAUACAUAGAUACCUUCAUGGAGUUCAAAUCAACAGACCAAGAAUAUCUACAUUCAAGGGCAAAAAAAAAAUGAAAACGAGAGCUACUGAACAUGUUUACACUAUUCCCUGCUAUAAUCAUGCUAAUUUUCUACUGGAAGACAUUUUUUGAAUCUCUAUUGCUUAAUGAAUGAACUCUUCCAUUCAAGGAUGUCUAUGUUCUAGAUCCAAUCUACUUGUCCAGAAUAAUCUUGAAUGUGUCUUCUUUUCAUUAGUUUCCAGGUCUUCUUGGUUCUCUGCUAUUGGUAUGCUGUUUUCUGCUUUUCUGGUAAAAAUUCCAGUUUAGGUCCUCAUCUCUUUUUUGCCUAGGGCGAGUGUAAUAGACUUUACUUUGCUCUUUGCAUUCAUCCUGUCCAUGUUCUAAUUAAUCUAUCUGGGAUAAUCUUAAUAUACAAUUGUUCUAAAGACACAAAAAAAUGUAAAACCAUACAACAAACCCCUACCUAUAUCUGAAUUCUUUGCUACUAAAUCAACAUGCUUAUUUGACAAGUCAGCCUCCCUUCCUUUGCCUAUAACAUAUUUCUGAUUUACUUUUCUCCAAUAAUUCCUGUCCACCUAGGAAUACACCCUCUGUGUUCUACAGAUUUGCCUAUUCUGCCAUUGUCUAUUUCAUUAAGAUACUUUACAAUUUGAGAAAGGUAAUUCAUUUUUAGCAUAAAAGCCUCAUUUGAUCAUUGCAGUGUAAUAUGUACCUUGCAAACAAUUAAAAUAAAAUUCAUAUGGAAUAAUACUUUCA
rnacentral:lncRNA from 1 species